CAGGAAUAUAAGAACGACCUGCUUUCAUUAUUAAAGGAAGGGGUCUUGAAUCAAGAUGAAUUCUACUUCCUGUACCAAGAGCAUCCAGUAACGGCAAUUUUCUACCAUCUGCCUAAAAUUCAUAAAGAUCAAAAGAACCCUCCAGGUCACCCGAUUAUAUCUGAAAUAGCAUCAUUAACCAGUAAUAGUUCCGUUCAUGUCAACUUCUUCUUACAACAUAUGGUUACACAUCUUGAUUCAUAUUUGAAAGACACGACUCAUAUGCUUCAAUUCCUCUCCAAUAUCGAAUGGACAGUGGACUGCUUUCUCGUCAGUUUGGAUGUUACCUCUUUAUACAACAGCAUUCCUCAACAUAUCGG